rnacentral:rRNA from 1 species
AGCAGUCGCCGCGGGAAUACGUAGGGUGCAAGCGUUAAUCGGAAUUACUGGGCGUAAAGCGUGCGCAGGCGGUUAUAUAAGACAGAUGUGAAAUCACCGGGCUCAACCUGGGAACUGCAUUUGUGACUGUAUAGCUAGAGUACGGCAGAGGGGGAUGGAAUUCCGCGUGUAGCAGUGAAAUGCGUAGAUAUGCGGAGGAACACCGAUGGCGAAGGCAAUCCCCUGGGCCUGUACUGACGCUCAUGCACGAAAGCGUGGGGAGCAAACAGGAUUAGAUACCCCCGUAGUCCCUGUCUCUUAUAC